CAAACCUAAUACCAAACCUAAUAACCCAUUUUUCCAAACCUUUUUCCAAACCUAAUACUAAACCUAAUUCUAACCCUAUAAUACAAAACCUAAUUCUAACCCUACUCACCUUCUUUGACAGAUCAGAUGAGAAGACUGCAAAUUUCAGUGUCAGAGAUCUUCACAUUCCUUUCAUGCAAUCUUCCAUGUGUCCCCUCUUAUUAAAAAUUAAAAAUCUAAAAAUUCUAUUUAUGAUCAGAAGACCUGCAAAUUCCUUUCAUGC
rnacentral:lncRNA from 1 species